UACGUAGGGUGCGAGCGUUGUCCGGAAUUACUGGGCGUAAAGAGCUCGUAGGCGGUUUGUCGCGUCGUCCGUGAAAACUUGGGGCUCAACCCCAAGCUUGCGGGCGAUACGGGCAGACUAGAGUUCGGCAGGGGAGACUGGAAUUCCUGGUGUAGCGGUGAAAUGCGCAGAUAUCAGGAGGAACACCGGUGGCGAAGGCGGGUCUCUGGGCCGAUACUGACGCUGAGGAGCGAAAGCGUGGGGAGCGAACAGG
rnacentral:rRNA from 1 species